GAUGAACGCUGGCGGCGUGCCUAAUACAUGCAAGUCGAGCGAACGGACGAGAAGCUUGCUUCUCUGAUGUUAGCGGCGGACGGGUGAGUAACACGUGGAUAACCUACCUAUAAGACUGGGAUAACUUCGGGAAACCGGAGCUAAUACCGGAUGAUAUUUUGAACCGCAUGGUUCAAAAGUGAAAGACGGUCUUGCUGUCACUUAUAGAUGGAUCCGCGCUGCAUUAGCUAGUUGGUAAGGUAACGGCUUACCAAGGCAACGAUGCAUAGCCGACCUGAGAGGGUGAUCGGCAACACUGGAACUGAGACACGGUCAAGACUCCUACGGGAGGCAGCAGUAGGGAAUCUUCCGCAAAGGGCGAAAGCCUGCCGGAGCAACGCGGCGUGAGUGAUGAAGGUCUUCGGAUCGUAAAACUCUGUUAUUAGGGAGGAACAUAUGUGUAAGUAACUGUGCACAUCUUGACGGUACCUAAUCAGAAAGCCACGGCUAACUACGUG
rnacentral:rRNA from 1 species